rnacentral:lncRNA from 1 species
CACCGUCUUCGGUCUGUGACAGCUACAACGAGUGCCCCGCCAGCACGACCUGCUGCUGCAUCUACGAGUACGGCAAGGAGUGCUUCGCCUGGGGCUGUUGCCCACUUGAGGGUGCUACCUGCUGCGAUGAUCACUACAGCUGCUGCCCUCAUAACUAUCCCAUCUGCAACACCCAGCAGGGAACCUGCCUCGCGGUAAUAGCUCAGACCAUUUUAUAAUGUUUUCUUCAGUUAAUGUGGUUAUGAUGUCAUGUAAAUCACUAGCAAGUUGACUAAGAGUCUUAGGUACU